GAAAAAAAAACCGAAAAUUGGUCCGCCGGUUCUCAUGGAACGUUAAAGUUUUCCAGUUAAAAAAAAUCGUUGGUUUGCAGAUUCAUAGGCCGAAAUAACAUUUUUCAUCUAUGCUGGAAGUUAUCACCGCUGCCGCAGAGAUGGAUGAAAUUUCAAAAACAUCCAAGUCCGUUUCACAUAGAUCCCGGAGACGGCCAGAAAGUUCAGCAGCAGUCGGCUUAUUUUGCAGCUGUUUUGUCCGCUAUACUAAACUGGGCCAUAGCUGGUGUGUGAAUGCCCUAAACAACAGCCGGCUGGCUAUUUGGAUUUCGGCAAAUUUUGGAUCGUUGGCAAAUUGCACUUUGCCCCGACCUUGGGCCGACGUCAGCACCUUCUUACUCUCCCGAUGGUAGCAGGUUAUGAACGUGGAACUGCCGCCUGCCGCUGCUGCAGGGUGCCACUGCAUCGUAUUGGGGAAUCAGCAGUGAGG